rnacentral:rRNA from 1 species
ACUCCUACGGGAGGCAGCAGUGGGGAAUAUUGCACAAUGGGCGCAAGCCUGAUGCAGCGACGCCGCGUGCGGGAUGACGGCCUUCGGGUUGUAAACCGCUUUUGACUGGGAGCAAGCCUUCGGGG